rnacentral:misc_RNA from 1 species
UUACAAAAGAUCACAGCUAAAUAACACUGUUUUCAAGCAGUAUUGUGUUCCUGUUGGUGAGUAAGGUGACCAGAGCUCCUGGGGGGAUUGGGGAUUGAGUCGGCAACGCGCUUGCGAUGCUUCUGGUGUUGCAGGUGUCUAUAAGCUACGGUAAUCGCUUACCAUCAGGUGAGCCGUACGCUUGUUUGCCGACCUAGUGACAUAAAAAAAAAACAAUAAAAAAAA